rnacentral:rRNA from 1 species
GAGCACGUAGGUGGGUUUGUAAGUCAGAUGUGAAAGCCUUCUGUUCAACGGAAGAAUUGCAUCUGAAACUGCGAAUCUUGAGUAUAGGAGGGGAGAAUGGAACUUCUGGUGGAGCGGUGAAAUGCGUAGAUAUCAGAAGGAACGCCGGCGGCGAAAGCGAUUCUCUGGCCUAUUACUGACACUCAGUGUGCGAAAGCUAGGGGAGCAAACGGGAUUAGAUACCCCGGUAGUCCUAGCCGUAAACGAUGGGCACUAAGUAGAGGGAAUUACCGAUAUUCUCUCUGCCGUAGCUAACGCAUUAAGUGCCCCGCCUGGGGAGUACGGCCGCAAGGCUAAAACUCAAAAGAAUUGACGGGGGCUCGCACAAGCGGUGGAGCAUGUGGCUUAAUUCGAUGCAACGCGAAAAACCUUACCGGGGCUUGACAUGGUAGAAGUAGGAACCCGAAAGGGUGACGAACGGUAUCCAGUCCGUAGCUAUCACAGGUGUUGCAUGGCUGUCGUCAGCUCGUGUCGUGAGACGUUGGGUUAAGUCCCCUAACGAGCGAAACCCUUGUUUUUAGUUGCCAGCGGGUUGUGCCGGGCACUCUAGAAAGACUGCCGUCGUCAAGACGGAGGAAGGUGGGGAUGACGUCAAGUCAUCAUGGCCCUUAUGCCCUGGGCUGCACACGUGCUACAAUGGUCGGUACAAACGGAAGCGAAGCCGAGAGGUGAAGCGAAUCC